UACGAGGUGGACAAACGUUAUUCGGAAUUACUGGGCGUAAAGCGUGCGCAGGCGGUGAUGUAAGACAGGUGUGAAAUCCCCGGGCUUAACCUGGGAACUGCAUUUGUGACUGCAUCGCUGGAGUGCGGCAGAGGGGGAUGGAAUUCCGCGUGUAGCAGUGAAAUGCGUAGAUAUGCGGAGGAACACCGAUGGCGAAGGCAAUCCCCUGGGCCUGCACUGACGCUCAUGCACGAAAGCGUGGGGAGCAAACAGG
rnacentral:rRNA from 1 species